rnacentral:rRNA from 1 species
ACUCAAAUGAAUAGACGGGGACCCGCACAAGCGGUGGAGCGUGUUGUUUAAUUCGACGAUAAGCGAAGAACCUUACCAAGGCUUGACAUCCUGCUAAGUUUUCCGAAAGGAAAAUGUGCCUUCGGGCCGCAGUGACAGGUGUUGCAUGGCCGUCGUCAGCUCGUGUCGUGAGAUGUUUGGUUAAGUCCAUCAACGAGCGCAACCCUUAUAGUCAGUUGAAUUUUUCUGGCUAGACUGCCCCGGCAACGGGGAGGAAGGAGGGGAUGAUGUCAGGUCAUUAUUACCCUUACGCCUUGGGCUACAAACACGCUACAAUGGCCGGUACAAAGGGCAGCCAAGUCGCAAGACGGAGCAAAUCCCAUCAAAGCCGGUCUCAGUUCGGAUAGUAGGCUGAAAUUCGCCUGCUUGAAGCUGGAAUCGCUAGUAACGGUAGGUCAGCACACUACCGUGAAUACGUUCCCGGGUCUUGCACACACCGCCCGU